UUGAGCUGAAGGUCUCAUUUCUGAAGGAGCUGCAGUUUGAUGCACUUCAUGCAGGACAAGUAUGAUCAAUCCACGGAGGAGAGAGUAAUCCAAGUCAGCAGGUUUUCACAUCUCUAAAUACAAAAUGUGUGGUGCGUGGCCAAGUGGUUAAGGUGUUGGACUAGCGAUCUGAAGGUCAAGCCCCGGCCGAGGCAGCAUGUUGUGACCUUGAGCAAGGCACUUAACUGCUUCAGUCUACCCAGCUGAAAAUGGGUACUGGGGGUUAACAUCGUGAUAGACUGGCUUCCUAUCCGGGGGGUGGGGGGGGGGAUGGUCUUGUACUCUCAGUCGCUUCACGCCAUGGAAGCUGGCAUAAGCACCGGCCUGAUGAGCCUGUGGGGCGGGACAGACUUUAACUUUAAAUACAAAAUAUUAGAGCAAUGUAGUAAUGCAACUCUGUGGAGACAAGCUGGGUAUCAUUGUCUGUAAUACAAUGUAGCAAAAUUAUAUUUCCUUGCAUGAACAAUAAUCCAUAAUUUGUCAUCUGGCCAUAAUUUUCCCUACUGAACAGGUGAGAAGGGCUCUGGGGAAACUGAGACAUGGCAAAGCAUUGGGACCGGAUGGUGUGAACCACAAUGUCCUGAAGGACUGUGAAGGAAAACAUUAUGUAUGGUCCCGGUACCCAAGAAGGGCCAACCAAAAGUUUUGCACAACUAUCGUCCAGUGGCCGUGAGCUCACAUGUCAUGAAGACUCGUGAAAGGCUGAUCCUGGUUCACCUCUGACCCCUGGUCAGAUCAGCCCUCGAUCCCCAGGAGCACAUCAGAGUUGACGAUACUGUUAUCUGCCUGCUAAACAGAGCCUCCUCCCAUUUGGAUAAGCAGGGCUGCGCUGUGAGGAUCAUGUUUUUUGAUUUCUCAAGCACCUUCAAUACCAUACAGCCCUCAUUGCUGGGGAAAAGCUUAAAUCAACGCAGGCUGGCACUUCCAUUGUAUCCUGGAUAUUGGACUACCUAACUGGCAGACCCCAGUUUGUGCACCUUCAGGGCUGUGUGUCAGACAUGGCUAUAAGCAGCACUGGGGCCCCACAGGGGACUGUAUUGGCUCCCUUCCCGUUUACCCUGUAUACCUUGGACUUUAGAUACAACACUGAGUCAUGUCAUCCGCAGAAAUUCUCUGACUCAGCGACAGUUGGGGGUAUAAAGGGAGGACGGGUGGAUGAACACAGGGCCCUGUCGGAGGACUUCGUCAAAUGGCACAAGCUGAAUCAUCUGCUGCUCAGCAUCAGUAAGACAAAGGAGACUUUAGGACUUUAGGAAGACUAAGCCUGCACUGCUCCAUUACUACUGAUGGUGAUGUGGUGAGGACCUACAAGAAACUGGGGGUGCACCUGGACAACAGACCUGAGUGGAGCACCAACACAGAGGCCAUGUACAAGAAGGGCCUGAAACCUCUUCCUGAGGAGACCGAGGUCCUUUGGAGUAUGCAGGCCUCUCCGUCACAUGUUCUACCGGUCUGUUGUCGCCAGAACAAUCUUAUACGUAGUGGUGUGCUGGGGCAAUGGCAUCACACGAGUGAUGCCAACAGGUUCAAUAAAUGGAUUAGGAAGGCUGGCUCUGUUAUAGCAGUCAAACCGGACACACCGAAGCCUGUGGUAGAACAUAGGACCUUAUGGAAAAUCCUGACAAUUUGGGACAAUGUUUUUCACCUUCUGCUUGCCACUUUAGCUGAAAAGAGGAGCAUGUUUAGUAAUAGACUGCUCCAAAGAGCACUAUAUGAGCUCAUUCUUACCCUGUUGGCCAUUAGGCUCUAUAAUGAGUCAACUUAUAGCCGGGGAAGGGAUGACCCCCCCCUCCCCUCCUGUUAGAGGCAACUUACUUUUUUAAUUCUUUCUUACUUUUCUUGUAAUAUUUGUAUAUCUGUACAUUUGUAAUGCUACUGUGACUCUGUAAUUUCCUUUGGGAUCAAUAAAGUAUCUAUCUAUCA